ensembl:snoRNA SNORA70 Small nucleolar RNA SNORA70
CUGCAGCUAAUUAAGCCAACCACUCUCCCUUCCUCAUGGGGGCCUGGUGUGCAAUGCCUGUGAACAGUAGCUUCCUUGGUAGUCUAGGCAGCCUGUUGCUUAUGUGGGUUGCUCUAAGGGACCUUGGACACAUUC